rnacentral:rRNA from 1 species
UACGGAGGAUGCGAGCGUUAUCCGGAUUUAUUGGGUUUAAAGGGAGCGUAGGUGGGAUAUUAAGUCAGCUGUGAAAGUUUGGGGCUCAACCUUAAAAUUGCAGUUGAUACUGGUUUCCUUGAGUACGGUACAGGUGGGCGGAAUUCGUGGUGUAGCGGUGAAAUGCUUAGAUAUCACGAAGAACUCCGAUCGCGAAGGCAGCUCACCGGGCCGGAACUGACACUGAUGCUCGAAAGUGCGGGUAUCAAACAGGAUUAGAUACCCUGGUAGUCCGCACAGUAAACGAUGAAUACUCGCUGUUUGCGAUACACUGUAAGCGGCCAAGCGAAAGCGUUAAGUAUUCCACCUGGGGAGUACGCCGGCAACGGUGAA